UACAGAGGGUGCGAGCGUUAAUCGGAAUUACUGGGCGUAAAGCGUGCGUAGACGGCUAUCUAAGUCGGGUGUGAAAGCCCCGGGCUCAACCUGGGAAUUGCAUUCGAGACUGAAUAGCUAGGGUACGGUAGAGGGAAGCGGAAUUUCCGGUGUAGCGGUGAAAUGCGUAGAUAUCGGAAGGAACAUCAGUGGCGAAAGCGGCUUCCUGGACCAGUACCGACGUUCAGGCACGAAAGCGUGGGAGCAAACAGG
rnacentral:rRNA from 1 species